rnacentral:rRNA from 1 species
AACGAACGCUGGCGGCAUGCCUAACACAUGCAAGUCGAACGGGAAGCUCGCUUCGGUGAGUGGAGAGUGGCGCACGGGUGUGUACCGCGUGGGAACCUGCCUCGGGGGUUUAGGAUAACGGCUGGAAACGGCCGCUAAUACUGAAUACGCCUUAAGAGGGAAAGAUUUAUCGCCCUGAGAGGGGCCCGCGUAUGAUUAGCUAGUUGGUGGGGUAAAGGCCUACCAAGGCGACGAUCAUUAGCUGGUCUGAGAGGAUGAUCAGCCACACUGGGACUGAGACACGGCCCAG